CUUUCCCAGAACAAGCCAGUGAUUCAUUUCUACAUACUGCUCAUUAUUUUUUCAAUUUAAAAAGUUACAGGAAUUGUUGUGAUAACAUUUAAAUGGCAAGAGGGACAUAUUUUCUUCCCUUAUACUAUCUUGUGCUUUCUGGAACUCCAGCAACUCUGAUGUGUAGAUGCAAUUUGUUCAUGAUCCAAGAUAUUUUGGGUAAUGAAAAAAGACGUGCCUCUGUAUCUCACUGGUCGAAAGCAUGUGAGAAAGGGAGAACAGAAAAGGUAAGUAAAAGGAGCAAGUUUUUGGCUGCCCAUCAGGAGGUUCGUCACAGUUGCUUUGGCCUUGUCCCCAGCAUCUGUACCAAUGAAGCGGAGUGA
rnacentral:lncRNA from 1 species